rnacentral:rRNA from 1 species
AGAAUCAACGCUGGCGGCGUGCCUAACACAUGCAAGUCGCACGAGAAAGGGUAGCAAUACCUGAGUAAAGUGGCGCACGGGUGAGUAACACGUGAAUUAUCUACCUCCGAGUGGGGAAUAACUGAGAGAAAUCUUAGCUAAUACCGCAUAACACUUACGAGUCAAAGCAGCAAUGCGCUUUGGAGAGGAGUUCGCGGCAGAUUAGUUAGUUGGCGGGGUAAUGGCCCACCAAGACGAUGAUCUGUA